CGUCGUCAUCGAUAUAAGUUCCGACGAUGAGGAGGAGGAGCAGGAUCUUGGGCUUGGCGGGCGGCGGGAUGAAGAAACAGAUGAGGUGGUGGUCCUGGAUGCGCUGCCGGCGCCUUUCGUGAAACGGCUGAAGCAGAGUGGGGAAUUCGUGGGUGGUGGCCUGGUCGACGACGACGAUGAUUGCUUGGUGUUGGAGUCGGACCCGGACAAGCCGGUGUUGGUGGAGAGCGAUCAAGGAAGGGGUGGAGAUGACCUGCUCAUUGUCGCCGAGAAGGGGCAGCCUAGGCGGCCGCUUAGGCGUUAGGUGAUUGCGUCUCGAAAACUACCCAGGUGGCCGCCUAAGCCGCCCAGGCGCUUGAUCUGCGCUGGUAGGGUUCGGUGCCCAGGCGCUACUAGGGUUUAGAUGUCGCUUAAGUGAAAAAAAAAACGUGGACAAAGAAACGUUGUUUCUCCUCUCCGCAGCGAUGCUGUUUCUCCUCUCCGUAGCAAUGAUGACAACGACAACACUCAUAGCGUCUCCUUCUCAUCACUUCCGCUGCAAGCCAAAGAGGAAAGAGCGAUCGAGCUCCGGCAGUGAUUGUUCCUCCCAUUUUUGCAUCUCUUUCUCCACCUUCGUCGAAGAGAUUGUCGUUGGCUUGCCGAGACUAUCCACAUCCGCGCCAUCUUUGUGCCAAUUUUCCUUUUAUCUCAUCAUUACAUGAGAAGUACUGCAAAUUGUGCCAUUGUUACGUGUGUGACUCUCCGGCCCCUUGCAAUUACUGGGCCAAUGGUGACUUAACUACGGAUCAUUGCAAUUCUACUGAUAAAGAACCAAGCUGGAGGGCAUUGAGGCAGUCUUUCAAACUGGUGGCUACACAUUCACAGAUGUACAAAGAUAAUUCUUCUUCUGGAUUCCCAACUUUCAGAGGGCGAGCACCACCGAUACACCACUCCAAUUCAAAUCCUAUUUUGGCUUCCAUCUCUCAAUCAAAUUUGCUGCAACCAUGCUCCACGACUCCAAUUACAAAAACAAACUUGAUUGAUUGUAGACGCUAUCUUCCCGCAACUCUGUCCUGUCAUAACCAGAGAUACAACCACUACACACCUAAAGGACAACCUUUACGGAGAGAGACAGGAUUGACGUAUGCUCGUAAAAGAUCUAGAAGGGACGGGGCACUGGAAGCUCAUUUUACUACCUUGGAUAGUCCAUACAGCGCUAGCAUCACUGCUUCUGCUAAUAAUCAUAAUCCCAACACUGUGCCAAUAACAUUACAGAGCCCUCGGUGGUCUGAAGUGGGACAGUGGGCAUCUCAAACUCCGUCGAUAACAUCAUCAGGUGACUCAACAUCGAUAAUGCAAGCAGCUGUAGCAUCGCAAUUUGUACCAUCCCUGAUCACAGCUGCUGAUGUUAACUUGAAAACUUGGCAAGACAUAGUGGCUCAUGCAACAUCUGAAUCGGGGAUUCCAGAAUUCCACUUGAGCCAGAUAUAGAAUGACAGAUGCUCAACAACCUCGACAGAUACCAUCUCAAUGAGCACCUUAUGUCAUUUUCUGAAACAAAUGGCGGUAUGAGGUUCCCGUUUUCCUUCAGGAAAUAACCUUCAUCAAUAAGAUUAUACCUGCACAUGAUCAGAUCACAUGAUGGCAAGGAAGAUCUCUCAACAUUCAACUUCCAGGACGUCUAAUUUGGCCAUAUCGAAGAAACUCAGUUUAGGUAUGGAUGGAAUUUUAUCUUCCGUAUGCCAUAGAAUGCCAUAAAAGAGCCUCUAGAUGAGUCAGUUGCUGCAGCAACUCUUGAAUGUAAUACCAAUCUCUACGAUAAAGUAAGGUUGUUCUGUCCUAGUUUGCUUUCGUAUUUAAUGUAUAUUUCCGGUAGCAAUUGAUUCUUCUUCAGAAAUACUUCGUUUAAUAGAUGGGAUAACGAUAUUAUCAUUUUAAAAA